UCCUACGGGAGGCAGCAGUGGGGAAUAUUGCGCAAUGGGGGGAACCCUGACGCAGCCAUGCCGCGUGAAUGAAGAAGGCCUCCGGGUUGUAAAGUUCUUUCGGUAAUGAGGAAGGGAUGUUGUUAAAUAGAUAGCAUCAUUGACGUUAAUUACAGAAGAAGCACCGGCUAACUACGUGCCAGCAGCCGCGGUAAUACGUANGGCGCGAGCGUUGUCCGGAAUUAUUGGGCGUAAAGAGCUCGUAGGCGGUUUGUUGCGCCUGCUGUGAAAGACCGGGGCUUAACUUCGGGGUUGCAGUGGGUACGGGCAGACUAUAGUGUGGUANGGGUAAUUGGAAUUCCUGGUGUAGCGGUGGAAUGCGCAGAUAUCANGAGGAACACCGAUGGCGAAGGCAGGUUACUGGGCCAUUACUGACGCUGAGGAGCGAAAGCGUGGGUAGCGAACAGGAUUAGAUACCCUGGUAGUCC
rnacentral:rRNA from 1 species